rnacentral:tRNA from 1 species
UCCCUGGUGGUCCAGUGGUUAGGACUCUGAACUGUCACUGCAGGGGGUGCAGGGUUGGUCCCUGAUCAGGGAA